UACAGAGGGUCUCAAGCGUUGUUCGGAUUCAUUGGGCGUAAAGGGUGCGUAGGCGGCGCGGUAAGUCGGGGUGUGAAAUCUCGGAGCUUAACUCCGAAACUGCAUUCGAUACUGCCGUGCUUGAGGACUGGAGAGGAGACUGGAAUUUACGGUGUAGCGGUGAAAUGCGUAGAUAUCGUAAGGAAGACCAGUGGCGAAGGCAGCUCGCUGGGACGGUACUGACGC
rnacentral:rRNA from 1 species